GACGAACGCUGGCGGCGUGCUUAACACAUGCAAGUCGAACGGAAAGGCCCUGCUUUUGUGGGGUGCUCGAGUGGCGAACGGGUGAGUAACACGUGAGUAGCCUGCCCUUGACUUUGGGAUAACUUCAGGAAACUGGGGCUAAUACCGGAUAGGAGCUCCUGCUGCAUGGUGGGGGUUGGAAAGUUUCGGCGGUUGGGGAUGGACUCGCGGCUUAUCAGCUUGUUGGUGGGGUAGUGGCUUACCAAGGCUUUGACGGGUAGCCGGCCUGAGAGGGUGACCGGCCACAUUGGGACUGAGAUACGGCCCAGACUCCUACGGGAGGCAGCAGUGGGGAAUAUUGCACAAUGGGCGGAAGCCUGAUGCAGCAACGCCGCGUGCGGGGUGACGGCCUUCGGGUUGUAAACCGCUUUCGCCUGUGACGAAGCGUGAGUGACGGUAAUGGGUAAAGAAGCACCGGCUAACUACGUGCCAGCAGCCGCGGUGAUACGUAGGGUGCGAGCGUUGUCCGGAUUUAUUGGGCGUAAAGGGCUCGUAGGUGGUUGAUCGCGUCGGAAGUGUAAUCUUGGGGCUUAACCCUGAGCGUGCUUUCGAUACGGGUUGACUUGAGGAAGGUAGGGGAGAAUGGAAUUCCUGGUGGAGCGGUGGAAUGCGCAGAUAUCAGGAGGAACACCAGUGGCGAAGGCGGUUCUCUGGGCCUUUCCUGACGCUGAGGAGCGAAAGCGUGGGGAGCGAACAGGCUUAGAUACCCUGGUAGUCCACGCUGUAAACGGUGGGUACUAGGUGUGGGGUCCAUUCCACGGGUUCCGUGCCGUAGCUAACGCUUUAAGUACCCCGCCUGGGGAGUACGGCCGCAAGGCUAAAACUCAAAGGAAUUGACGGGGCCCCGCACAAGCGGCGGAGCAUGCGGAUUAAUUCGAUGCAACGCGUAGAACCUUACCUGGGUUUGACAUGGAUCGGGAGUGCUCAGAGAUGGGUGUGCCUCUUUUGGGGUCGGUUCACAGGUGGUGCAUGGCUGUCGUCAGCUCGUGUCGUGAGAUGUUGGGUUAAGUCCCGCAACGAGCGCAACCCUUGUUCACUGUUGCCAGCACGUUAUGGUGGGGACUCAGUGGAGACCGCCGGGGUCAACUCGGAGGAAGGUGGGGAUGACGUCAAGUCAUCAUGCCCCUUAUGUCCAGGGCUUCACGCAUGCUACAAUGGCUGGUACAGAGAGUGGCGAGCCUGUGAGGGUGAGCGAAUCUCGGAAAGCCGGUCUCAGUUCGGAUUGGGGUCUGCAACUCGACCUCAUGAAGUCGGAGUCGCUAGUAAUCGCAGAUCAGCAACGCUGCGGUGAAUACGUUCCCGGG
rnacentral:rRNA from 1 species